rnacentral:rRNA from 1 species
UACGAAGGGGGGCUAGCGUUGCUCGGAAUCACUGGGCGUAAAGGGUGCGUAGGCGGGUCUUUUAAGUCAGGGGUGAAAUCCUGGAGCUCAACUCCAGAACUGCCUUUGAUACUGAAGAUCUUGAGUUCGGGAGAGGUGAGUGGAAACUGCGAGUGUAGAGGUGAAAUUCGUAGAUAUUCGCAAGAACACCAGUGGCGAAGGCGGCUCACUGGCCCGAUCUGACGCUGAGGCACGAAAGCGUGGGGAGCAAACAGG